ensembl:snRNA U6 U6 spliceosomal RNA
UUGCUUUGGUAGCACAUAUACUAAAACUGGAACGAUACAGAGAUUAGCAUGGCCCCUGCGCAAGGAUGACAUGCAAAUUCAUGAAGCAUUCCAUAUUUCU